rnacentral:rRNA from 1 species
UACGUAGGUGGCGAGCGUUGUCCGGAAUUACUGGGUGUAAAGGGCGUGUAGGCGGGAUUGCAAGUCAGAUGUGAAAUUCCGAGGCUUAACCUCGGCGCUGCAUCUGAAACUGUGAUUCUUGAGUGAUGGAGAGGAAAGCGGUAUUCCUAGUGUAGCGGUGAAAUGCGUAGAUAUUAGGAGGAACACCGGUGGCGAAGGCGGCUUCCUGGACCGACACUGACGCUGAGGCGCGAAAAGCUAGGGGAGCAAACGGG